rnacentral:rRNA from 1 species
CUAGAGAUUAGUUUGAUCCUGGCUCAGAAUGAACGCUGGCGGCGUGCUUAACACAUGCAAGUCGAACGAGAAAGGCCUUCGGGCUAAGUACAGUGGCGAACGGGUGCGUAACACGUGGGUAUCUGCCCCUAAGUGGAGAAUACCCCCGAGAAAUUGGGGUUAAUGCUGCAUACGUCCUAUCUUCGGAUAGGAGAAAGACGGCCUCUUUGCUGUCGCUGAGGGAUGAGCCUGCGCACUAUUAGCUUGUUGGUGGGGUAAAGGCCUACCAAGGCGAAGAUGGUUAGCCGACCUGAGAGGGUGAUCGGCCACACUGGAACUGAGAUACGGUCCAGACUCCUACGGGAGGCAGCAGUGGGGAAUAUUGCACAAUGGGCGAAAGCCUGAUGCAGCAACGCCGCGUGGAGGAUGAAGGUCUUAGGAUCGUAAACUUCUGUUAAGUGGGAAGAAAGACCGAAAGUUAAUAGCUUUCGGGGAUGACGGUACCAUUAGAGAAAGCACCGGCAAACUUCGUGCCAGCAGCCGCGGUAAUACGAGGGGUGCAAGCGUUAUUCGGAAUUACUGGGCGUAAAGAGUGUGAAGGCGGUUUUUUAAGUCAGUUGUUAAAGCACCCAGCUUAACUGGGUAUCAGCGAUUGAGACUGGAAGACUAGAGCACAAGAGAGAGAAGUGGAAUUCUCGGAGUAGCGGUAAAAUGCGUAGAUCUCGAGAGGAACACCGGUGGCGAAGGCGGCUUCUUGGCUUGUUGCUGACGC